AAUCAACGCUGGCGGCGUGCCUCAGACAUGCAAGUCGAACGCGAAAGUUUCCUUCGGGAGAUGAGUAGAGUGGCGCACGGGUGAGUAACACGUGAGUAAUUUACCUUCGGGUGGGGAACGACUAACCGGAAACGGUUGUUAAUACCGCAUAAUGCAGCGGCAUCAAUGAUGACAGUUGUUAAAGCGGGGGAGUUGAGCAAUCCGACCUCGCGCCUGAAGAGAAGCNCGCGGCAGAUUAG
rnacentral:rRNA from 1 species